AAAAAAAAAAAAAAGCAGAUUAAUGGAGGGAACUUAAUCACUGUAAUUAAUUCCCUAAUCAUUAUUAACUGAAAACCAGUAACCCACAUGAAAGAUGAUACAUAAAAGUCCCAAUUCAAAACUUUCAUCUGCCAGAGAAGUCACCGAAAUCAGCUUCUUUACAAUCUCAAUUACCGAAAUAGGUUUCUUUCUCCAAUCUUAGUUGUGUUCUUCAGAUUCUUCUUCAGAAGCCUCCUUCAACCACUGAAUGAACUUUUCUGAUUGGUUGACAAAAACUUUAUCUGAUUCCUCAGCAUCCUUUUUCUCAUCGGCCCAUCUUAAUAUGGCAUCCUCUUCUAAAAUGUCUUUGUCAUAUAAAAGAUGCAAAAUCUGGGAAAAAGUUGGCGAGAACUCCUUAGCAGACUCUAGACACAUUUCUUCAAAUUUCAAUAUCACUUCAAUCUGAUCAUCUAUUUCUCUUGCAUAGAACUUUAGCAGCUUUUGCCAUGUACUUACAAUACUUGCAACAUUUUUGUAUAAUUCACCAGCAGCAGGAUGUGGAGUUUCUAAU
rnacentral:misc_RNA from 1 species